rnacentral:misc_RNA from 1 species
GAUGAAGAACGCAGCGAAAUGCGAAAAGUAAUGUGAAUUGCAGAAUUCAGUGAACCAUCGAAUCUUUGAACGCACAUUGCGCCCGCUGGAACUCCGGCGGGCACGCCUGUCCGAGCGUCAUUUCAACCCUCAGGCCCCCCUUCGCGGGCGGGCCUGGUGUUGGGGCCCGGCCGCUACCCUGCGGCCGUCCCCUAAAUUCAGUGGCGGCCUCGCCGUGAUCCCUUGCGUAGUAAUGCACCUCGCACCGGAGAGCGCCGUGGCCGCGCCGUAAAACCCCCAAUUUUCAAUGGUUGACCUCGGAUCAGGUGGGAAUACCCGCUGAACUUAAGCAUAUCAAUAAGCGGAGGA